rnacentral:rRNA from 1 species
AUUGAACGCUGGCGGCAGGCCUAACACAUGCAAGUCGAGCGGAUGAAGGGAGCUUGCUCCUGGAUUCAGCGGCGGACGGGUGAGUAAUGCCUAGGAAUCUGCCUGGUAGUGGGGGAUAACGUCCGGAAACGGGCGCUAAUACCGCAUACGUCCUGAGGGAGAAAGUGGGGGAUCUUCGGACCUCACGCUAUCAGAUGAGCCUAGGUCGGAUUAGCUAGUUGGUGGGGUAAAGGCCUACCAAGGCGACGAUCCGUAACUGGUCCGAGAGGAUGAUCAGUCACACUGGAACUGAGACACGGUCCAGACUCCUACGGGAGGCAGCAGUGGGGAAUAUUGGACAAUGGGCGAAAGCCUGAUCCAGCCAUGCCGCGUGUGUGAAGAAGGUCUUCGGAUUGUAAAGCACUUUAAGUUGGGAGGAAGGACAGUAAGUUAAUACCUUGCUGUUUUGACGUUACCAACAGAAUAAGCACCGGCUAACUUCGUG